UAACCUGCCCAAGAGAGUCGGGAAUAACCACCUAGGAAACAGAUGCUAAUACCGGAUAACAACAGAUGAUGCCUAUCAACUGUUUAAAAGAUGGUUCUGCUAUCACUCUUGGAUGGACCUGCGGUGCAUUAGCUAGUUGGUAGGGUAACGGCCUACCAAGGCGAUGAUGCAUAGCCGAGUUGAGAGACUGAUCGGCCACAUUGGGACUGAGACACGGCCCAAACUCCUACGGGAGGCAGCAGGA
rnacentral:rRNA from 1 species